rnacentral:lncRNA from 1 species
CAACUCAUACACAGACUCCUCCUCCACAUAUAUUUCCAUGUAUGAUGAGAAAUUCCCAGAAGCAUAUAUAAUAUCAAACACUCAUCAUCAUGAAUAUUACAUCCUUGAUAUUUUAUGAUGGGAUGAAAUUGACCAUUUGGGAAUGGGAAUUUACAAAUAAAAUUCAAAUGUGCCAUUUACCCAUGAUCAAUAACCUUUGGUAAGAAUUGAUCCUCUAACUUUUCCAAUGUUGAUGGCCAUUGGAAACUAUAUAAUCCUCGUAGACCCCUAGUAGAUCAAACCGUAGACGUCAUGUUCAAA